GUUACAUUGAUUGAUUGAUAUUCAGUAAGUUAUUUAAUGAUUGGUGUCGCAGUUCACGAAUUCGCUAACAACUUUUAUCCCUGUCCUAUUUCGGCGAUUUCUGCUAUUAAUCACGGUAGAUGUUACACGGUCAUUUGCCGCCAAUGAGACUUGCCCACAGGCAAAAUUUCAACGAAACAGUCAUUAUGAACACGAGAUGCGAGAGCCUUCUGUUGCAUGCCGUGAGCCACAGCCACAGCCACAGCCCCAGCAUCAAGAGCGGCCUCCCACAAAAAGAAGGAAUGGCACAACAGACGUCAUUGUGGAGGCUACCAGGACAUGAAGGCUGUGGCUGAUAUGGCCGGAACUCUGCCCCAGCCUGUCCGAGGAGACCAAUACAGUGCCCUUGCCACCCACAUCGCAGCUGAACUGCGUGAGAUGGAUAAUGUGGGUAGUAAGAUAUUUACAACUGCCGGAAGUCACGGUUUGCAGUGGUAUUUGAUGGACAGGUGGGAUUUGCUGCAUUUGACAACACAAGAAGCACGACCAUCCACCUCUGGGUAUAUCCAGGCUGCCUUGCAGCAGGCUGGUAUAGAAGAGAAUACCGUAUAAUUUUUUUGUAGCUCUCCAAUCUUCUUAAUUUAUUUUUGUACUCAGGAUGCCUCAUGUUGUAAAACACCUAAUCGGCCUCAUACAUCUCUAUUAAUUUUGUAGUUUCGGACACCAAUUGGUACAUGCUGUGUUAAUAAAAUAAAAUGAAAUAAAAAUUGAUCUUAAUGAACA